rnacentral:lncRNA from 1 species
AAUAUAUUUGAUCAUCAAAUUAAAUAAUGCAAUUGCCCGAAUUAUUGUUUACAAUUUACAAUUCGUGAACUAAAUUAGAAACCCGUACAUGUAUUAUACCAUAACAAAUUGGCUCAUGUCAAAUCAGUGUUU